AUGCUUCCCGGUGCAGUUGUUGUUGGAGCAGCAGGCGGUGGUGGUGGUGCGCCGGGGCACGUGCGCGCGGCGGCCAGGGCUACCCUCAUCCCCGGCUUGGCGGUGGCCGCCAUGGGCCUCUUCUUCGCCGCCACCGUCAACCCCGGCGACUUCCACGCCCAGGUCGAGCACGCGGCGGCGCCGGCCGCGUACGGCGGGCAGCCCCAGCAGCGCUGCGAGGCCACGGAGGCGGAGGCCCUGGACCUGCGCGCGACGGCGCUGGUGCUGGUACUCACGGGCGCGGCGCAGGCGAUGCUGGCCGCGGCGGCCGGCGUGGCCUUGGCGGCGGGGUCCCUGUCCCUCCAGUGUGUAGGCCGGUUCCUCGCCCUCAUCGCGCACUUCUUCGCCCCCGCGAACGCCUGCUUCCUCUACUCUGUCCUCCAGGGGGUGGCGGUCGCCGUCGUCGGGCACUGCGCCGACGGAUACAACCUCAACUUCACCAUUGUCUGCGUCCUCGCCGGCGUGUCAUACGGCGUGCUGUUCGUGGUGAGCUUCUUAGUCACCGUCUGCGGAGGGAUCUGCCAGUCUGCCACAGUGCCACUGAUCCCCUCUAGCUUAGUUUAUCUUAGCUUAGCUUUGCUAGCUUGCAGCAUCUAUUUUCUUCUACCUAGCACUGCCGGCCACUACUACACUUAG
rnacentral:rRNA from 1 species